UGGCUCAGAUUGAACGCUGGCGGCAGGCCUAACACAUGCAAGUCGAGCGGAAACGAAGUUUAACUGAACCUUCGGGGAACGUUAACGGCGUCGAGCGGCGGACGGGUGAGUAAUGCCUGGGAAAUUGCCCUGAUGUGGGGGAUAACCAUUGGAAACGAUGGCUAAUACCGCAUAAUAGCUUCGGCUCAAAGAGGGGGACCUUCGGGCCUCUCGCGUCAGGAUAUGCCCAGGUGGGAUUAGCUAGUUGGUGAGGUAAGGGCUCACCAAGGCGACGAUCCCUAGCUGGUCUGAGAGGAUGAUCAGCCACACUGGAACUGAGACACGGUCCAGACUCCUACGGGAGGCAGCAGUGGGGAAUAUUGCACAAUGGGCGCAAGCCUGAUGCAGCCAUGCCGCGUGUAUGAAGAAGGCCUUCGGGUUGUAAAGUACUUUCAGCAGUGAGGAAGGUGGUAGUGUUAAUAGCACUAUCAUUUGACGUUAGCUGCAGAAGAAGCACCGGCUAACUCCGUGCCAGCAGCCGCGGUAAUACGGAGGGUGCGAGCGUUAAUCGGAAUUACUGGGCGUAAAGCGCAUGCAGGUGGUUUGUUAAGUCAGAUGUGAAAGCCCGGGGCUCAACCUCGGAAUUGCAUUUGAAACUGGCAGACUAGAGUACUG
rnacentral:rRNA from 2 species